rnacentral:misc_RNA from 1 species
GGGGGGGGAAACAGAAAUUUGCUCAGUUUUGUAAAGUUAAUUGGCAAUGGCGGCUGAAACCUUUGCUUUCUCUCUUAUUCUCUUGUGUUUCUUAUUCAGUUUACAAGGCAUUUUAGCUGAUUAUGGAGGGUGGCAGAGUGCUCAUGCAACCUUCUACGGCGGUGGUGACGCUUCAGGAACAAUGGGUAAGUGUUAGUUAUUCUAAAAAUUAAUAAGUACUUGAAAAAAAUCUUCAGAAAAUUAAUUGAUGUGUUUGAAAACUUUUGUAGGAGGAGCAUGUGGGUAUGGGAAUUUGUAUAGCCAAGGGUAUGGAACAAACACUGCAGCACUAAGCACAGCAUUGUUCAACAAUGGAUUGAGCUGUGGAGCUUGUUAUGAAAUGAGAUGUGAUGAUGACCCAAGAUGGUGUAUUUCUGGAUCCAUCAUUGUCACUGCUACUAAUUUUUGCCCACCAAAUCCUUCUCUCCCUAACAAUAAUGGUGGUUGGUGCAAUCCUCCUCUCCAGCACUUCGAUUUGGCUGAGCCUGCUUUCCUUCAAAUUGCUCAAUACCGUGCUGGAAUUGUGCCUGUGGCCUUUAGAAGGGUUCCAUGUAUGAAAAAGGGAGGAACAAGAUUCACCAUAAAUGGUCACUCUUAUUUCAACCUGGUGUUGAUCACCAACGUUGGCGGUGCAGGAGAUGUUCAUGCAGUUUCAGUCAAGGGGUCUAGAACGGGGUGGCAACCCAUGUCAAGAAAC